rnacentral:lncRNA from 1 species
UGAUUGGUUCACGUAGAAAUUGAUUUUAAAUUCGAUGGUUGAUGUGGCAUGGAGAGAAAGGGGACAAAUUUAAAAUUCAAAUGUACUUUUGAAAUUUUUGAGCUUUGAGAGAGAGGGAGACGUUCAACCAACCACCAUCGCCAGUGAUGAUUUCGUUCCAACAGGCCACGAUUGUCGUCGUACUGCCGUCGUCGGAGACUUGUCGUAUGUCUGUUGUGUUCCCUCCACCCAGCCACUCAGUGCAAUCUUAGUGUCGGUCUUCGAAGAAGGCAAAACCUAGACGUCAAAGGUGCACCGUCGUCUUCUAUCCUCGAAGCCACUGUGCCGCCGCUGUUGAGCCGUAGUUUGAUGAAAAAAUCUUGCCAUCGUCCCAACCACCCAGUACCGCAGGAGUGUCACCGGAAGUCUGCCGCAGCUCGUCGGAGUACCCAAAGUCAAGUGAAUCUUCACUUUUUCCUCAGCUAGAUAAUGAAUAAUUGUUUCUUGCUUUCUCUAUUUAUUUUUUUUGAAUUUUAGUUUGUGGUUUUGGUUUUAUUUCAAUGGCUGUAAUUUGAGACUGUAUUGUUUUGGUGGCUCUCAGUGCGGAUCAUUUUGAAAUUCAAUUUUAAUGUUCUAGGUCUCUUAGGAUCCGCAAAACGAAUAAUUAAUGGAUGAUCAGAACCCUAGGUGAUUAAAAAAUAAAACUUUAGUUAACAAUUGAAACUGGACAGAGUAACGUGUAUGAAUUAAAUAAAUUAAUAAAUUAGCUUUACUCUCAUCAUGAAGGUUCUAUUCAGUCCUUUGAUUGGAGCUAAUGCCAUUUCUCUCUUAGAAAAUUUGACAAAAGCAUAUCCUAGAAAAUUGAGAAAUGCAUCAACACGAUAAGUUAGGUGAAAAUGGCAACAUUGCGGCGGACCUUCAGCGGCACUCCAGCGGCAGUGGGUGGUUAGGACGACGGCAAGAUUUUGUCUUCGAACGACGGCUCAACGGCGGCGGCGGCAUGAUGGCUUCGAGGACAGAAGACGACGACGCAACUUUGGCAUUUAGGUUUUGCCUUCUUCGAAGGCCGACACUAAGACGGUACUGAGUGACUGGGUGAAGGGAACACAGUGGACAGACGACGAGUCUCCAGCGGCGGCAGCCCGACGGUAGUCGUGGUCGGUUGGAACGAGAUCGUCAUUGGCGGUGGUGGCUGAGUUCUCGAACGCGCUUCGCUUCUCCCUCUCUCUCAAAGCUCGAAAAUUUUAGAAAUGCAUGAGUUUCAAA